GCUGGGUGUGGCUCAGUGGUAGAGGGCAUGCUCAGCAAGUUCAAGGACAGUAUUCAAUACACAUAAAAGAUACCCAAGGUCCUCAAAUUAUGUUUCUUGCAACUGCUUAAGUUCUUUUUUUUUUUUAAGAGAGAGAGAGAGAGAGAAUUUUUUAAUAUCUAUUUUUUUUUUAAGUUUUCUGUGGACACAACAUCUUUGUUUGUAUGUGGUGCUAAGGAUCGAAUCCGGGCCGCACGCA
rnacentral:tRNA from 1 species